rnacentral:lncRNA from 1 species
UAGGAAGGAUUUACUGAACUAAGUCUUCCCCUUUCUGGAAGCAUGCGUGAAGGGCCAUUGAGGCAACGGUAGAAAAGCUGUCCUGUUUUCAAAGGUCUCCCAACAAGGAGGCAAAGCACUUUCCAGGUUUGGGGAUCAGCACUUUUUCAAGGCCACUGCAUUCCAUGCUCUUGGUUGUGAUACGAUGGGCGCUCUGCCGCCCCCUCUGGCCUGGCUGGCCUCGAUGCUCCUCUGGUCCAGUCUCUGGGCUGGAAACCACAGCUGGCCCUUCCUGAAAUGACUCAAUAUCCAACUUGGACACAGCUCCAGUCUCCUCCCUGCCACCUCCAGGCAACCAGUCCCGCAGGACCAAGCUAGGACCACAGAGGUCCCAGCUUUUCUCAGAAAGAUCCCUCUGCUGACCAAGGAUGGCCACGCCAGAAAUUCUGCAAAAUGCAAGAGCAAGCACUUUCAAGCCGGAGUUUCGUGUUUCCUGUCCCUGCGGGCUCAUUCUGCCAAACUUCACGAUACCAGAUGGAAUGAGGAAACCAGAGCAAACUGGAGGUCAGCUUGGAGUGAGCGAGGAAGGCUGUGUCAAUAUGGGGGUGCACCACGGGGUCUCCACAUGGAGAGCAGCUGCAGAGAGUCACCACACGUGCAACAAGGCUUUGUGUCAGAUCCCAUCCAGGCAGUACAACAUUACAUUUUGUCAUUGCAUCCCCUUAAGGACAUGACAGUUUCUCCGACUGUCCUUGCUUUUGAGCACCUUGACAGCUGUAAGGAGUGCUGGUCAGGGAAGGCUAAGGUGCGGUUUAUUGCCCAGGGAAGCGGAGGGCUGAUUCAGAGCAAGGCGUCAUGGAGGGAUGAAGCAGGACAUGAUGCAGAGAAGCUGCUGCCCACAGCAGUAGGACCAGAACGGUG